rnacentral:lncRNA from 1 species
CUCAUUCAUAAUGAUUAAGCUGUUGCUUUGCAGUUUGAAGAAAAGCAAAAUUAAAAUUAAAUCAACAAAAUAAUUGUUUUGGUGGCCAGAUUUAUACCUUCCAGAGUACCAACACUGCCAUGAGU